AGUGAACGCUGGCGGCAGGCCUAACACAUGCAAGUCGAACGACAGCACAGUAAGCUUUUGCUCUUACGGGUGGCGACUGACGGACGGGUAACAAAUAGAUCGCAUUCUACUAUUACUUGGAUGAUAACGGAGGACCACAUCCGCUAAUACCUCAUAUGUCCUACGGCAGAAAUCAAGAGAUCAUCACAGCUUUCCUGUCUCAUUGAGCUGAUGUCGCAUUAGCUAGUUGACUGGGUAAGGGCCCACCAAGGCGACGAUCCGUAGCUGAUCUGAGAGGAUGAUCAGCCACACUGGAACUGAGACACGGUCCAGACUCCUACGGGAGGCAGCAGUAGGGAAUAUUGGACAAUGGGCGCAAGCCUGACGGAGCCAUACCGCGUGAGUGAAGAAGGUCUUCGGAUUGUAAAGCCCUGUUAUUAGGAAAGAAAAGAAGUAGAUGAAUAUAUGGAUGUUUUGACGGUACCUAAAGAAUAAGCAACGGCUAACUACGUG
rnacentral:rRNA from 1 species